GUUGGUGGCCACUGUAACAGUUUGCAAACGAAGGGGAGUUGUGAAGGGCCUGGGGUUGGGGUCGUGCUGCCGGCCCUGUGGGGUCACAAUGGCAGCUACAGUAAGGAGGCAGAGGCCAAGGAGGCUACUCUGUUGGGCCUUGGUGGCUGUCCUCUUGGCAGACCUGUUGGCACUGAGUGACACACUGGCUGUGAUGUCUGUGGACCUGGGCAGUGAAUCCAUGAAGGUGGCCAUUGUCAAGCCUGGAGUGCCCAUGGAGAUUGUAUUGAACAAGGAAUCUCGGAGGAAAACUCCGGUGACUGUGACCUUGAAGGAAAACGAAAGGUUUCUAGGUGACAGUGCAGCUGGCAUGGCCAUCAAGAACCCAAAGGCUACGCUCCGUUAUUUCCAGCACCUCCUUGG
rnacentral:lncRNA from 1 species